AUCCAGCUGACGAGUCCCAAAUAGGGCGAAACGUGCUUCCUGGAU
rfam:Schistosoma haematobium scaffold1189_15, whole genome shotgun sequence.